rnacentral:rRNA from 1 species
GAUGAACGCUGACGGCGUGCCUAAUACAUGCAAGUCGAGCGAACGGACGAGAAGCUUGCUUCUCUGAAGUUAGCGGCGGACGGGUGAGUAACACGUGGAUAACCUACCUAUAAGACUGGGAUAACUUCGGGAAACCGGAGCUAAUACCGGAUGAUAUUUUGAACCGCAUGGUUCAAAAGUGAAAGACGGUCUUGCUGUCACUUAUAGAUGGAUCCGCGCUGCAUUAGCUAGUUGGUAAGGUAACGGCUUACCAAGGCAACGAUGCAUAGCCGACCUGAGAGGGUGAUCGGCCACACUGGAACUGAGACACGGUCCAGACUCCUACGGGAGGCAGCAGUAGGGAAUCUUCCGCAAUGGGCGAAAGCCUGACGGAGCAACGCCGCGUGAGUGAUGAAGGUCUUCGGAUCGUAAAACUCUGUUAUUAGGGAAGAACAUAUGUGUAAGUAACUGUGCACAUCUUGACGGUACCUAAUCAGAAAGCCACGGCUAACUACGUG